rnacentral:rRNA from 1 species
GACGAACGCUGGCGGCGCGCUUAACACAUGCAAGUCGAACGGUAAGGCCCCUUCGGGGGUACACGAGUGGCGAACGGGUGAGUAACACGUGAGCAACCUGCCCUUGACUCUGGGAUAACAGUUGGAAACAGCUGCUAAUACCGGAUACGACCUUCGAUGACAUCAUCCGGAGGUGGAAAGCGAUUUAGCGGUCAAGGAUGGGCUCGCGGCCUAUCAGCUUGUUGGUGGGGUAACGGCUCACCAAGGCUUCGACGGGUAGCCGGCCUGAGAGGGCGACCGGCCACACUGGGACUGAGAUACGGCCCAGACUCCUACGGGAGGCAGCAGUGGGGAAUAUUGCACAAUGGGCGCAAGCCUGAUGCAGCAACGCCGCGUGCGGGAUGACGGCCUUCGGGUUGUAAACCGCUUUCAGUUCCGACGAAGCGCAAGUGACGGUAGGAACAGAAGAAGGACCGGCCAACUACGUGCCAGCCGCCGCCGUAA